rnacentral:rRNA from 1 species
AGCGAACGCUGGCGGCAUGCCUAACACAUGCAAGUCGAACGAUUGCCUUCGGGUGAUAGUGGCGCACGGGUGCGUAACGCGUGGGAAUCUGCCCUUAGGUUCGGAAUAACAGCUGGAAACGGCUGCUAAUACCGGAUGAUAUCGCGAGAUCAAAGAUUUAUCGCCUGAGGAUGAGCCCGCGUUGGAUUAGGUAGUUGGUGGGGUAAAGGCCUACCAAGCCGACGAUCCAUAGCUGGUCUGAGAGGAUGAUCAGCCACACUGGGACUGAGACACGGCCCAGACUCCUACGGGAGGCAGCAGUGGGGAAUAUUGGACAAUGGGCGCAAGCCUGAUCCAGCAAUGCCGCGUGAGUGAUGAAGGCCCUAGGGUUGUAAAGCUCUUUUACCCGGGAAGAUAAUGACUGUACCGGGAGAAUAAGCCCCGGCUAACUCCGUG